UAGUAUUCAUGGCCACGCCCACCCUGGCUUGGGACCGCCCACAGGCACAGGACCCUGUUUAACAAUCCAGUGGUUCUGUAUACAACUGUUGCCCUUUCUGAAGAAACCCUGAACCAGAGUGUGUGUACAGAGCAACAAAAAAUGCGACAUUAACAAAGGCCCUGUGUGUGUUCUCUCAUGCCCACACCCCAAUCAGUGACAUUAUACAAACAUGGUAAACAUGAGUGCUCCACUGCAAGCUGUGGCUCGUUCUGAAAUGCGGAAGAUUGCAAGAGUGUACUGAGAUCGGACACGGUGUAACCAGACUGCUGCAGCGAACGACGGCUGCACAACUAAGAACAAGACGUUUAUGGGGAAACUGCAGACGAGGUCCAGAGAAUCAAAUGUAAUCUGUAACUCUGCAACUGAGCCAGGAUUCCUGUAUUUGUUGGUAAAACACACACACUAAGACACACACAAACACACUCUCAAAAGACCUAUUAGAAGAUGGAAAAUUUCCCCUCGUACACAGAUUACACACAGAAUGCCUCUCACUAUCUCGCUCUGUGCGGGAGGUUAGUGUGAACACACUUUUUUUUUGUAGAUGGUUCAUACAUGCAGACCAAUUACAGAAGGUUCAGGCAGGCUAUCAUCACAUAUUAAACAAUAGAAGAGGAAAAAGAAAUGGUGUUGUGCCAAAAUCCCACCCUUAUUGGUGAUUCUGUAUCUGCUGUAACUGUAGAUUAACCCUAAUUUUUAAACAUAUAUAAAACAAUCUGGAGGGAAUUUAAGAAGUUGUGCAGAUUAUUGGAUAAAUGGGUUUUAUCAUGUUUAUAACUUUGAAAAAUGCAGUGAAAUAUUUUUUCUGCUUUUCUAUAUUAAAGCCUGUGAUCAUACAUAAAGCCCAGCAUGAAAAUUGUGAUACGCUUGUGUUGAACACACUUGAAGCUUACCACUCAGAAGCACAUCACACUCGAGUUACACAAGUGGCUCUUACAGUGAAGAGGACAUUUAGAAACACAAUCAUGCAAUGAAACGCACGUCAGCAGCAGUUCCAGAGUGGAUCUGUGAAUAGUUACAGUAAAACAAAAAAAGUUUGACUGAAACUCCACCUAGAAAUAUUUAGACGAAAAUGAUAAGAGUGACUGGACAGGUAAAACACAGAAAUGACUGUAUUUUCUGGGGUGUUUGGUUCUAAAGCUCACUUGCUAAGAUAGCCUAUAUUACAGUUAAACACAGAGUAUCAGACAGCUCAAUCCAGCUGAUUUUGACUAAGUAAACUGAGUACUGAUAAUAAAAACCCACGUCUGAGA